UACGUAGGGGCCAAGCGUUGUCCGGAAUUAUUGGGCGUAAAGAGCUUGUAGGCGGUUUGUCGCGUCUGCUGUGAAAAUCCGGGGCUCAACCCCGGACUUGCAGUGGGUACGGGCAGACUAGAGUGUGGUAGGGGAGACUGGAAUUCCUGGUGUAGCGGUGGAAUGCGCAGAUAUCAGGAGGAACACCGAUGGCGAAGGCAGGUCUCUGGGCCACUACUGACGCUGAGAAGCGAAAGCAUGGGGAGCGAACAGG
rnacentral:rRNA from 1 species